UAUUGGUCAAUAGCCUAACGGCUGAACCAGCAACUAGGAGGAAUGCAGAAUUACUGUGAAAGGUAAUUUUCUAUAUAAGAAAUUAAAUGUAGAGUUAACGUAGUUAAGUAAAGUUCCGAUUAGAAAUUGAUUAUGACAGUUUCUAUGAGUAUGUCUUGACCAAUUCAUGUGCCAGCAGUCGCGGUAACACAUGUAAGACUCGUGUUAUUCAUCUUUAAUAGGUUUAAAGGGUACCUAGACAGUUAAUUAAGCCUGGUACUAAUAAACUAGAGUUUAAUAUAAGAAGAAGAGUACGGUGAGUGUAGAGAUAAAAUUCGUUGAUACCACUUAGAAACUGGCAAAAGCGAAGGCAAUCUUCUAUGUAAAAACUGACGUUGAAGGACGAAGGA
rnacentral:rRNA from 1 species